UGAGGAAUAUUGGUCAAUGGGCGCGAGCCUGAACCAGCCAAGUAGCGUGAGGGAUGACGGCCCUAUGGGUUGUAAACCUCUUUUAUGCGGGAAUAAAAUGUUUGACGUGUCAUACAUUGUAGGUACCGCAAGAAUAAGGACCGGCUAAUUCCGUGCCAGCAGCCGCGGUAAUACGGAAGGUCCAGGCGUUAUCCGGAUUUAUUGGGUUUAAAGGGAGCGUAGGCCGCAAGUCAAGCGUGUUGUGAAAUGCAGGGGCUCAACCUCUGGAUUGCAGCGCGAACUGGCAUGCUUGAGUACGCACGAGGUAGGCGGAAUUUGUGGUGUAGCGGUGAAAUGCUUAGAUAUCACGAAGAACUCCAAUUGCGAAGGCAGCUUACCGGAGCGCAACUGACGCUGAAGCUCGAAAGUGCGGGUAUCGAACA
rnacentral:rRNA from 1 species